UUUACUUUAACCAAAAAUAUUUUCUAAAUCUUAUUUAAUUGAUUUUCUUGAUCUUGAUGUUUUAAAGUGUUAAAACAAAUGGUUCACUUAUAUUGGGACAAUGCUUGCUGAUGUGCUUGAAAUGAAUUUGGUCAUGUAUUUUGGGACAAAAAUCAUAUGUUAAUCAUCAAAUGCUUGUUUGACCGAAUUUGGAAAGAAGAUGGAGAUUUUGAUUAAAUCAUUUUUAACAUGU
rnacentral:lncRNA from 1 species